rnacentral:rRNA from 1 species
AAUCACUUGUUCUUUAAAUGAGGACUCGUAUCAACGGCAUCACGAGGAUCCUACUGUCUCCCCCCUCUAAUCGGUGAAACUGAUCUCUCCGUGAAGAAGCGGAGAUGUACAUAUAAGACGAGAAGACCCCAUGGAGCUUUAAACCCAACAACACCCGCCCCCCCUCCAAAUCCUAUUAUUUACCCGGUGAUUGUUUGUUUGGUUUUAGGUUGGGGUGACCGCGGAGUAUAAGAUAUCCUCCAUGAAAAAAAGCUAACUGCCCUUAUUAGAGAAAGACACUUCCAAAAAAUAAUAAAUUAAUUUUAAAUGAUCCGACAUUCGAUCAACGAACCAAGUUACCCUGGGGAUAACAGCGCAAUCCGUCCCGAGAGCCCCUAUCGACAGGCGGGUUUACGACCUCGAUGUUGGAUCAGGGUAUCCCAGUGGUGCAGCAGCUACUAAAGGUUCGUUUGUUCAACGAUUAAAACCCU